rnacentral:lncRNA from 1 species
CGUAGGGAGGCGCGCGCGCGGGCGGCUCAGGGCCCGCGUUCCUCUCCCUCCCGCCUACCGCCACUUUCCCGCCCUGUGUGCGCCCCCACCCCCACCACCAUCUUCCCACCCUCAGCGCGGGCGCCCCGCGGUGACGGCCCAGGGGCCGGACGCCUGGAACGCAACUCCAGGCAGCUCGCCCCCUAGCUACAUCCGUCACCUGACACGGCCCUACCAGGAACAGCCGCGCUCCCGCGGAUUCUGGUGCUGCUCGCGUCCCCGCUCCCCUAUUCCCCUUAUUUUAUUCCUGGCUCCCCUCGUCGAAAGUCUUCCAUUCUUCAAACUAGAUUAUUUAAAAAUGAAAAAGGAAGAAAGGAAAGCGAGGUCAUCUCAUUGCUCUAUCCGCCAAUCAGGAGGCUGAAUGUCAGUUUUGAACUAAAAGCCGCUCCGCUCCUCUUCUAGAUUUGGAAAACAAGCGAAAUUAAACUAAACCGCUGCACGCCUCUGACGCGACAUCUGGACACGGCGCGGCGCUGGCGCUGCCGGAGCUGUCGACCCGGCCUGGCGCCGGACUAGUGUCCCUUUUGAUGAGAAGAAUAAGCCUCAUUCUGAUUCAACAGCAGAGAUCAAAGAAAAGACUUCUGUUUUCUGGCCACCAGAUAUAUGUUAUCUGUGCUUAAAGAAUUGAAAAACACACAUCAAAGGAGAAUUUUCUUGGAAAGAGAGGGUUCAAGCAUCACUGUUAGGUGUGCUGGAAUCCUUUCCCGAGUCAGUACUGCUUUCUAGAAGAAAACCGGGGAGAUCUAUUUGGAAUGUAUCUAACUCCAAAGAAACCAUCAGAGGUAACAGAUUGGCUUCUCUCACAUGGCAAGAAACAUUGCUGCUAGCACUUCCCGAGUUCUACGUUCUACAACAUCCACCACUG